UAAUACGAAGGGUGCUAGCGUUGUUCGGAAUCACUGGGCGUAAAGCGCGCGUAGGUGGCUAUGCAAGUCAGAGGUGAAAGCCUGGAGCUCAACUCCAGAACUGCCUUUGAAACUGCAUAGCUAGAGUGUUGGAGGGGAUAGCGGAAUUGCUAAUGUAGAGGUGAAAUUCGUAGAUAUUAGCAGGAACACCGGUGGCGAAGGCGGCUAUCUGGACAACAACUGACACUGAGGCGCGAAAGCGUGGGGAUCAAACAGG
rnacentral:rRNA from 1 species